GACGAACGCUGGCGGCGUGCUUAACACAUGCAAGUCGAACGGAAAGGCCCUGCUUUUGUGGGGUGCUCGAGUGGCGAACGGGUGAGUAACACGUGAGUAACCUGCCCUUGACUUUGGGAUAACUUCAGGCAACUGGGGCUAAUACCGGAUCGGAGCUCCUGCUGCAUGGUGGGGGUUGGAAAGUUUCGGUGGUUGGGGAUGGACUCGCGGCUUAUCAGCUUGUUGGUGGGGUAGUGGCUUACCAAGGCUUUGACGGGUAGCCGGCCUGAGAGGGUGACCGGCCACAUUGGGACUGAGAUACGGCCCAGACUCCUACGGGAGGCAGCAGUGGGGAAUAUUGCACAAUGGGGGGAAGCCUGAUGCAGCAACGCCGCGAGCGGGAUAACGGCCUUCGGGUUGUAAACCGCUUUCGCCUGUGACGAAGCGUGAGUGACGGUAAUGGGUAAAGAAGCACCGGCUAACUACGUG
rnacentral:rRNA from 1 species